UACGAAGGGGGCUAGCGUUGCUCGGAAUCACUGGGCGUAAAGCGCACGUAGGCGGCUUUCUAAGUCAGGGGUGAAAUCCUGGAGCUCAACUCCAGAACUGCCUUUGAUACUGGGAGCUCGAGUCCGGAAGAGGUGAGUGGAACUCCGAGUGUAGAGGUGAAAUUCGUAGAUAUUCGGAAGAACACCAGUGGCGAAGGCGGCUCACUGGUCCGGUACUGACGCUGAGGUGCGAAAGCGUGGGGAGCAACAGG
rnacentral:rRNA from 1 species